CCUUUGUACACACCGCCCGUCGCUACUACCGAUUGAAUGGCUCAGUGAGGCCUUGGGAUUGGCCAGGGGAGGUGGGCAACGACCACUCAGAGCCGGAAACUUGGUCAAACUUGGUCAUUUAGAGG
rnacentral:rRNA from 1 species